rnacentral:rRNA from 1 species
UGGGGAAUAUUGGACAAUGGGCGCAAGCCUGAUCCAGCCAUGCCGCGUGAGUGAUGAAGGCCUUAGGGUUGUAAAGCUCUUUCGGCGGGGACGAUAAUGACGGUACCCGCAGAAGAAGCCCCGGCUAACUUCGUGCCAGCAGCCGCGGUAAUACGAAGGGGGCUAGCGUUGCUCGGAAUCACUGGGCGUAAAGGGCGCGUAGGCGGACAUUUAAGUCGGGGGUGAAAGCCCAGGGCUCAACCCUGGAAUUGCCUCCGAUACUGGGUGUCUCGAGACCGGAAGAGGUGAGUGGAACUGCGAGUGUAGAGGUGAAAUUCGUAGAUAUUCGCAAGAACACCAGUGGCGAAGGCGGCUCACUGGUCCGGUUCUGACGCUGAGGCGCGAAAGCGUGGGGAGCAAACAGGAUUAGAUACCCUGGUAGUCCACGCCGUAAACGAUGGAUGCUAGCCGUUGGCAGGCUUGCCUGUCAGUGGCGCAGCUAACGCUUUAAGCAUCCCGCCUGGGGAGUACGGCCGCAAGGUUAAAACUCAAAGGAAUUGACGGGGUCAUAGCUG